rnacentral:rRNA from 1 species
UACGUAGGGUGCAAGCGUUGUCCGGAAUUAUUGGGCGUAAAGAGCUCGUAGGCGGUCUGUCGCGUCGGAUGUGAAAAUCCAGGGCUCAACCCUGGACCUGCAUUCGAUACGGGCAGACUAGAGUUCGGCAGGGGAGAAUGGAAUUCCCGGUGUAGCGGUGAAAUGCGCAGAUAUCGGGAGGAACACCGGUGGCGAAGGCGGUUCUCUGGGCCUUACCUGACGCUGAGGAGCGAAAGCGUGGGGAGCGAACAGG